rnacentral:rRNA from 1 species
UGAGGAAUAUUGGUCAAUGGGCGCAGGCCUGAACCAGCCAAGUCGCGUGAGGGAGGACGGUCCUACGGAUUGUAAACCUCUUUUGUCGGGGAGUAACGUGCGGGACGCGUCCCGUAUUGAGAGUACCCGAAGAAAAGCAUCGGCUAACUCCGUGCCAGCAGCCGCGGUAAUACGGAGGAUGCGAGCGUUAUCCGGAUUUAUUGGGUUUAAAGGGUGCGCAGGCGGCGCGCCAAGUCAGCGGUCAAAGUUCCGGGCUCAACCCGGUGUCGCCGUUUG